UUCGCAAUGCCCGAAAGGGUGACGAAGCGACGCCGCGUGUGGGAAGAAGGCCUUCGGGUUGUAAACCACUGUCGGGAGUUGAGAAAUACAAGGAUAUUAAUACAGUCUUUGUUUGACUAAGGCUCCGGAGCAAGCCACGGCUAACUCUGUGCCAGCAGCCGCGGUAAUACAGAGGCGGCAAGCGUUGUUCGGAAUUGCAUUGGGCGUAAACAGCACGUAGGCGGCUAUGUAAGUCGGUUGUGAAAGCCUUCACCUCAACGGAAGAACAGCAUCCGAUACUACAUGGCUUGAGUGCGGGAGGGGAGAGUGGAACUUCUGGUGGAGCGGUGAAAUGCGUAGAUAUCAGAAGGAACGCCGGCGGCGAAAGCGGCUCUCUGGCCCUUAACUGACGCUGAGUGUGCGAAAGCACGGGGAGCAAACGGGAUUAGAUACCCCGGUAGUCCUAGCCGUAAACGAUGGGCACUAAGUAGAGGCAUUA
rnacentral:rRNA from 1 species